rnacentral:misc_RNA from 1 species
GAUGUUUAUAGUUUUGGAGUUGUGUUGUUGGAGAUUUUGACUUCUAUGAAAGCAAUAGAUUUUAAUAGAGGAGAAGAUGAUGUGAACUUGGCAGUUUAUGCACAAAGAAUGAUGGAUGAGGAGAGAUUAAUGGAUAUAGUUGACCCCUUGUUAAAAGAGAAAGCGACUACUAUAGAGCUUGAGACAAUGAAGGCGUUGGGGUUUUUGGCUUUGGGUUGUUUGGAGGAAAAGAGACAAAAUAGGCCUUCCAUGAAAGAGGUUGUUGAAGAAAUUGAGUAUAUUAUGAGUAUUGCAACAACAAAGAACGUAGAAAACUAGCUUAGCCAUUCAUGGAGAAGCAUGUGAACACUGGUUGGGGUUCAGGUAUGAUUAAUACUUAAAUAUAAUUAUAAGAAUAUAAUAUUUAUAGUGAUGAGAUUGCAUAGCUUACAUGGCUUGAUUUCACUAGGUAUUUUGAUGUAUAUGCAUGGGUUUGAAUUGUGAUUUCAAUGAAAGUAUUUUGUACCCAUUUUUCCUUUUGAAAGUAGAAUUUCAUUUAAUGUUAAUGGC